ensembl:lncRNA
CUCCCAGAAAAGGACCCCUGAUUUGGGACCCUCAAUCCCCAUGGAGGCAAACUGCCCUGUGGGCUGGGUGCCUGGACCAGGAGAUCAUAGGCAUAGUACAGCCUCAGGUUAACUUGGACAAAAGGUGGUGGGAGCUGAAAGAGUGUUUAACCAGUAUUAAAACCAGCAUCCCAGUGUUUUCGCUGUAUUCUGUUGGUUAGAAGCAAGUGGCUGUUUAGCCACUCUUGAGAAGAAGGGAUUACUGGAGGACACAGUAGAGGAUAGGGGUCUUCGGGGGCCGUUUUGGAAGCCGCCUUCCACAGAAGGCUUCUUUGAGAAGACCUUCCCUGAGGAGGACGGGCCAAUAAGAAAGCUGAGGGAGGAACACCCCAGACUGAGAGAACAACACAGGGAAAGGCCCUGAGGUGGGAACCAGCUGGGAGAAUCUAGGAACAGCAGGAAAUUUAGCAUAGCUGGAACAUCACAGGAUGCAGUGGCCGGAAGGAGGUCACGGAGGUGGGCAGGCACCAGAGUGCUCAGGGCCAAGGCCAGCAUUGGGACUUUAUUCUCCUGUGGCGGGCAGACAAUGGAGGGUUUGUACACGGAGGUGACAUUAUCUGGCUUACGUUUUCUUUCUCUUUUUUUGGGGGGGCUUACGUUUUCAAAGGGUUCCUCUCCAUGCUCUUUUUAGAGUAGACCGUAUAGACACGGUCAACCGGUUUUUGAAGCAUUUGGAAUAGCCCAGGUGAGAGGCUGGGGGCUUGGGCCAUGGAGGUGGCCAGGCUGGCUGGAUUCUGAACAUGUUUUGAAAAGCUGAUAAGAUAUUCUGGUCCUUAGAUGUGAGCUUGAGAGGAAGCGAGGAGUCCUGGAAUCCCUAGGUUUUUGGCCUGAACAGUGGGUGAAUGAAUUGGGGACCUCUAGGGACAGGGCAAGGUUACCUCAUGUAGGUGGGGUCACCAUCAGCAGAAGGUCCAGUGUUACGACACAGUCUGAGGUUUGGGGAGCCCCUGCUGAGAUUGAGCCACAGAAACUAAGUCCUGAAGGUUGAGGGGGAAUUUCGAGGCCACAGGAGUGGUGGUGUAGCCCAGGUAGGUCUCAAGACUUCUGAGUGGCUUGCGGGAUGGAGGAGGGGUCAGUGUGGCUGGAGCAGAGGGGACAAAAGGGCACGAGAGAUGCUGUCAUGGAGGCAGGCUGGGCCAGAUCACCAGGACACGGGAGGGGCUUGUCAUUUCCCCAAGAGUGUCGGGAGCCGCAGAAAGGGUGCGGGCCUGUGAUGACCGCAUGCUGCUUUCGUGAGACGGCCUAGCCUGCUUGGAGAAUGGAUUAUAAGGAGUAAGAGCAGGCAAAUCUAGGACUUUCCUGGUGGCCCAGUGGUUAAGAAUCCACCUUCCAACUCAGGGACAAGGGUUCAAUCCCUGGUCAUAUGCAACUGAGCCUGAGGGCCACAGCUAAGACUCAACACAGCCAAAUAAAAUAAAGUAAAUAAGAGCAGGGCUAAUUCAAUUUUAAGGGUUCCUUUUAGGAAGAAGAGUACAAAAUUUGUAUGUAAGUGAAAACUGAGGUUGAGAAAGAAAAGCAAGAUAAAUUACUGGAACUGUAGAGACUUGGGUCAGUUCUCCUGACAUCUCUCUGGGCACUUUGGCAGGAACACUUAAAAGGAAGAUGUUUCCUGCGUGUAACCUGGCUGCCCUUCCCUCCUGCACCACUUCAUAACUCCCAGAGACUGUCAGCCCUCACAGGGACCACGCGAGUUAGGGAACUGAGCAGAAGUGUCAUUAACUUCACAGUAAGCCCACCUCUGGCCUUCCCUGGAGGCUCAGUGGUAAAGAAGCUGCCUGCCAUUGCAGAAGAUGCGGGUUCAAUCCCUGGGUCUGGAAGAUCCCCUGGAGAAGGACACAAUUUAGGGACUAAACAAGAACAACACAAGCCUGCCUCCAGGGAAGAGAAAAAGGACCGUACGGGAUGAAGCAGGUAGGGCACUCAGACCAGAGCCUGACCUCUGGUGCUGUGGCCCCCACCUCCACAUCAGUCUUGGUGAAGCCCUCUUGAUGUGAAGAGUCGAUGAGCACAGUUGAGUAAGAGGACCCGGAAGAAGACACUGGCUUGGGUGGCAAAGACAGAAACAGAUCUCCGGGAGGAAGGAAAUGAAGAGAUCUCCUGCCUCCUCACCCAUCCAGCAGACUGCUCCCAGGUGGAGAAAGGUGAUGCGUAUUUUCAUUUUAUUUGCAAAGAGCUGCAUGAGAAUUUAGCUGGUGUCGCACAGAGUCAGACACGACUGAAGUGACUUAGCAGCAGCAGCAGCAGCAGCAGCAGCAGCAGUGGUAAAGAACCCACCUGCCAGUGCAGGUAGAUAUGAGAGACACGGGUUCAAUUCGUGGGUUGGGAAGAUCCCCUGGAGGAGGGCAGGGCAACCCCCUCCAGUAUUCUUGCCUGGAGAAUCCCAUGGACAGAGG